GACGUAGGGCGCGAGCGUUUGUCCGGAUUUAUUGGGCGUAAAGAGCUCGUAGGCGGCUUGUCGCGUCGACUGUGAAAUCCCGCGGCUCAACCGCGGGUCUGCAGUCGAUACGGGCAGGCUAGAGUUCGGUAGGGGAGACUGGAAUUCCUGGUGUAGCGGUGAAAUGCGCAGAUAUCGGGAGGAACACCGGUGGCGAAGGCGGUUCUCUGGGCCUGUUCUGACGCUGAGGAGCGAAAGCGUGGGGAGCAAACAGG
rnacentral:rRNA from 1 species